rnacentral:misc_RNA from 1 species
GCAUUUCAUCAUCAUAGUGAAUAAAGUGCAAAUAUUUUUUUUAUAAGAAUACAUUUAGGAUGAGGUUUUUCUCAAAAGAGUUAAAGAUUGCAAUAGCACACAAUAAAUAUUUUAAACUAGAAGUAAAUGAAGAACAAUAUUACUUGUAUGAGCAUAAUAUAUAGUUGCAUUAUCUCAUUGCCUCUUCUUUCAUUGUGGCUUGCUUUCUUCUUUCUCUUUUGGUUUUUCUUCUUCUACCUUCUUAUCUUUAGGUUUUGCUUCUUCAACUUUGGCUUUAGGUUUUGCUUCUUCUUUGGCUUUUGGUUUUCCUUUUUGGGGCUUCAUGAAACAAAAACAAGAACAACAUGGACAUUGGAACAAGAAC